AGAGUUUGAUCCUGGCUCAGGAUGAACGCUGGCGGUAUGCCUAACACAUGCAAGUCGAACGGCGUAGGUACUUGACAUUGCUAAGUCUCUACGUAGUGGCGGACGGGUGAGUAACACGUGAGAAUCUGCCUUGAGGACGGGGAUAACAGUAGGAAACCACUGCUAAUACCGGAUAAGCCGAAAGGUGAAAAGAAAUUUGCCUGAAGAGGAGCUCGCGUCUGAUUAGCUAGAUGGUGAGGUAAAAGCUUACCAUGGCAACGAUCAGUAGCUGGUCUGAGAGGAUGAGCAGCCACACUGGGACUGAGACACGGCCCAGACUCCUACGGGAGGCAGCAGUGGGGAAUUUUCCGCAAUGGGCGCAAGCCUGACGGAGCAAUACCGCGUGAGGGAGGAAGGCUCUUGGGUUGUAAACCUCAAAAAUUAGGGAAGAAGAAAGUGACGGUACCUAAUGUAAGCAUCGGCUAACUCCGUGCCAGCAGCCGCGGUAAUACGGAGGAUGCAAGCGUUAUCCGGAAUCAUUGGGCGUAAGGAGUCCGUAGGCGGCUAGUCAAGUCUGCUGUCAAAGACCGAAGCUUAACUUCGGAGAGGCGGUGGAAACUGAAAAGCUAGAGUACAGAAGGGGUAGAGGGAAUUCCCAGUGUAGCGGUGAAAUGCGUAGAGAUUGGGAAGAACACCAGUGGCGAAGGCGCUCUACUGGGCUUGUACUGACGCUGAGGGACGAAAGCUAGGGUAGCGAAAGGGAUUAGAUACCCCUGUAGUCUUAGCAGUAAACGAUGGAUACUAGGUGUAGCUCGUAUCGACCCGAGCUGUGCCGAAGCUAACGCGUUAAGUAUCCCGCCUGGGGAGUACGCACGCAAGUGUGAAACUCAAAGGAAUUGACGGGGACCCGCACAAGCGGUGGAGUAUGUGGUUUAAUUCGAUGCAACGCGAAGAACCUUACCAAGGCUUGACAUCCGCUGAAUCUUCUGGAGAGAGAAGAGUGCCUUCGGGAACAGCGUGACAGGUGGUGCAUGGCUGUCGUCAGCUCGUGUCGUGAGAUGUUGGGUUAAGUCCCGCAACGAGCGCAACCCUCGUUCCUAGUUGCCAGCAUUAAGUUGGGGACUCUAGGGAGACCGCCGGGGAGAACUCGGAGGAAGGUGAGGAUGACGUCAAGUCAGCAUGCCCCUUACGCCUUGGGCUACACACGUACUACAAUGGUGAGGACAAAGAGAAGCGAAAUCGAAAGGUGAAGCGAAUCUCGGCAAACCUGGCCUCAGUUCAGAUUGGGGGCUGAAACUCGCCCCCAUGAAGGAGGAAUCGCUAGUAAUCGCAGGUCAGCAUACUGCGGUGAAUCCGUUCCCGGGUCUUGUACACACCGCCCGUCACACCAUGGAAGUUGGUCAUGCCCGAAGUCGUUACCCUAACCGCAAGGGGGGGGAUGCCGAAGGUGGGACUAGUGACUGGGGUGAAGUCGUAACAAGGUA
rnacentral:rRNA from 1 species